AGCUCAGUGGUAGAGCACAACCUUGCCAAGGUUGGGGUCGAGGGUUCGAAUCCCUUCGCCCGCUCCA
rnacentral:tRNA from 1 species